rnacentral:rRNA from 1 species
GAUGAAUGCUGGCGGCGCGCCUAACACAUGCAAGUCGAGCGGAAAGGCCCUUCGGGGUACUCGAGCGGCGGACGGCUGAGUAACGCGUGGGAACAUGCCCCAAAGUGAGGAAUAACUGCCCGAAAGGGUAGCUAAUACCGCAUAUGAUCUUCGGAUUAAAGGAUUUAUCCGCUUUGGGAGUGGCCCGCGUACGAUUAGGUAGUUGGUGAGGUAAAGGCUCACCAAGCCUACGAUCGUUAACUGGUCUGAGAGGAUGAUCAGUCAGACUGGAACUGGGACACGGUCCAGACUCCUACGGGAGGCAGCAGUGAGGAAUCUUCCACAAUGGGCGAAAGCCUGAUGGAGCGACGCCGCGUGCAGGGUGAAGGCCUUCGGGUUGUAAACUGCUUUUAUAAGUGAAGAAUAUGACGGUAACUUAUGAAUAAGCACCGGCUAACUACGUGCCAGCCGCCGCGGUAACA